rnacentral:rRNA from 1 species
AGAUUGAACGCUAGCGGGAUGCUUUACACAUGCAAGUCGAACGGCAGCGCGGACUUCGGUCUGGCGGCGAGUGGCGAACGGGUGAGUAAUAUAUCAGAACGUGCCCAGUAGCGGGGGAUAACUACGCGAAAGCGUGGCUAAUACCGCAUACGCCCUACGGGGGAAAGGGGGGAUUCUUCGGAACCUCUCACUAUUGGAGCGGCCGAUAUCAGAUUAGCUAGUUGGUGAGGUAAAGGCUCACCAAGGCGACGAUCUGUAGCUGGUUUGAGAGGACGACCAGCCACACUGGGACUGAGACACGGCCCAGACUCCUACGGGAGGCAGCAGUGGGGAAUUUUGGACAAUGGGGGAAACCUGAUCCAGCCAUCCCGCGUGUGCGAUGAAGGCCUUGGUGUAAAGCACUUUGGUCGAGGAAGAAACGGACGUGACCCGUAAUAACGGACGUACGACUGACGGUACCUAGACAGGAAUAAGACAACCGGACUAAACUACGUAGACCAAGACCAGACCGACCGGUAAUCGUA